GCUCCUCUGACGUUAGCGGCGGACGGGUGAGUAACACGUGGAUAACCUACCUAUAAGACUGGGAUAACUUCGGGAAACCGGAGCUAAUACCGGAUAAUAUAUUGAACCGCAUGGUUCAAUAGUGAAAGACGGUUUUGCUGUCACUUAUAGAUGGAUCCGCGCCGCAUUAGCUAGUUGGUAAGGUAACGGCUUACCAAGGCAACGAUGCGUAGCCGACCUGAGAGGGUGAUCGGCCACACUGGAACUGAGACACGGUCCAGACUCCUACGGGAGGCAGCAGUAGGGAAUCUUCCGCAAUGGGCGAAAGCCUGACGGAGCAACGCCGCGUGAGUGAUGAAGGUCUUCGGAUCGUAAAACUCUGUUAUUAGGGAAGAACAAAUGUGUAAGUAACUAUGCACGUCUUGACGGUACCUAAUCAGAAAGCCACGGCUAACUACGUGCCAGCAGCCGCGGUGAUACGUAGGUGGCAAGCGUUAUCCGGAAUUAUUGGGCGUAAAGCGCGCGUAGGCGGCUUUUUAAGUCUGAUGUGAAAGCCCACGGCUCAACCGUGGAGGGUCAUUGGAAACUGGAAAACUUGAGUGCAGAAGAGGAAAGUGGAAUUCCAUGUGUAGCGGUGAAAUGCGCAGAGAUAUGGAGGAACACCAGUGGCGAAGGCGACUUUCUGGUCUGUAACUGACGCUGAUGUGCGAAAGCGUGGGGAUCAAACAGGAUUAGAUACCCUGGUAGUCCACGCCGUAAACGAUGAGUGCUAAGUGUUAGGGGGUUUCCGCCCCUUAGUGCUGCAGCUAACGCA
rnacentral:rRNA from 1 species